GAUGAACGCUGGCGGCGUGCCUAAUACAUGCAAGUCGAGCGAAAAGACGAGGAGCUUGCUCCUCUGACGUUAGCGGCGGACGGGUGAGUAACACGUGGAUAACCUACCUAUAAGACUGGGAUAACUUCGGGAAACCGGAGCUAAUACCGGAUAAUAUAUUGAACCGCAUGGUUCAAUAGUGAAAGACGGUUUUGCUGUCACUUAUAGAUGGAUCCGCGCCGCAUUAGCUAGUUGGUAAGGUAACGGCUUACCAAGGCAACGAUGCGUAGCCGACCUGAGAGGGUGAUCGGCCACACUGGAACUGAGACACGGUCCAGACUCCUACGGGAGGCAGCAGUAGGGAAUCUGCCGCAAUGGGCGGAAGCUUGACGGAGCAACGCCGCGUGAGUGAUGAAGGUCUUCGGAUCGUAAAACUCUGUUAUUAGGGAAGAACAAAUGUGUAAGUAACUAUGCACGUCUUGACGGUACCUAAUCAGAAAGCCACGGCUAACUACGUG
rnacentral:rRNA from 1 species